CAAUUAUGUAUAAUAUAUUUAGAUAUGUUUUCUUGUGCAAAGAGUGUCCAGUGUCACCACUUCAAAUUAUAUCUACAAAUAUUUAUUUAAUAUAAUAGAAUAAAUUAAGAUUAAUAAAUGAUCCAAAACUUAUGGCUGAUGUGCUAUGAAUUACCUGAAUACAUUUCCUGUCACAGAAAAGUUCUAUAAGAAAUGCAAAAAGGUAUGGCAAUAUACAAGAAGUCAAGAACGACUGCCGUAAUAAAAAACAUACUCAUUGGAUAGGAGGUGGACGGCCGUGUGAUAUUACCAGUGUUGGGUAGUAACACUAGUAACAUAACAAAAGUAACACAUUACUGUAACUACAUAACAUUAUUAGUUUUUCAAAAUUUAUGUUUUUACAUUCUUAAUUUGAUGAUACUUUCAAAAAAAAUUGUUCAAACUUCAUUUA